UGUAAAGGUCUGGAGAAAACCAACCUGAAUUCAGUAGCAGAAGGUUUUGCCUGUAUUUCUUUUAGUAGAAACCUGAGUUUUAAUUAAACAGAAACUAUCCCAGUUAAUCCUUCCCAUGGUGUCCACUUGUACAGCUUACGAAACUUGCCCUGAAGUUCAGCAGGUGCCUCCUGCCACCUGUUUGCAGCCCUCUGCUUGAAUGGAGAUGCAGAUGGAAGUCAGGAGCCAUCGCUGCUGUUACCCAUCAGGCUGCACCUCUGUUUUGAACAGACCCCUGCAAGACUGACAGCUUAAUCCUGGCACGUUCCUCUGAAGGGUGACUGCCUGUGCAAGCCAGCCUCUCCCGCUUGCCACUCCCGUGCUCCGCAGGCUCCGUGGCAGCCGGAGCACUGAUGAACAAAGUGUCCAGCUGGAAAGUCUUCAGUGAUUCAGGAGGCGGCUGUGGCCAUAACCCCUUCAACGCCAAAUGUGUGGAACGUGGAGCUGCUUCUAGGUGUAUGUGCGUCUGCAGUAUGCAGUUAAGGCUGUAGUAUGUCUCUCAUCUUGGUGUGUCAAUGUGUCUUUUCAUAUUUUUCACUCUUUUCCCUUUCCUCUAAGUUUUCUGUGUCCUUGGUUCUGGAGGAGUUAUGUGGAAGUGGUGGUAAAGCAGCUGGCUGUAGGGCACGCAGUAAUGCUCAGCGACCCACAGAGCCAGCAGCAGGUACCUGUGCAGGUGAGCUCCUGGUAACUUUGGUUUUAACCUGAGUGCUGAUAUACACAGGGACAGGAGCACUUCAAAGGGUAAUGGGGUAAAUGUGGGGUUCUUCAGAGAAACCACUUUUUGGCCUCUUGCUGAAAGCUCCCUGUCUUCUCGUGGGAAGCCCUGACUGUGGCUGCCCUGCAGCCCCUCCUUGUCCGAGUCGCUGCACUGAAAUGCCUCCUUGGAGGGAUCUGAGAGGAUCUGGCAGGGUCCAGAAGCAGGACAGGGAAAGAGGCCUUGGUCACCUCUUUGGUAAAGUUACCUUCUGCUCUGCUUCCCUUGUGCUUGCCGUUCAGCAGAGGCCUGGGGGGUUUGAUGUUCAGGUAGAAGGACCGGCUGGAAUUCAUCCCAUAGAUGUUGGGUGAGUUGCCAGGGUUGGUGGGUCUGGAAGGGAUGGGGCUAAUAUGCAGAUCAUCUCUUUGUUCCUUGAUAGUCGAGCUCUACCAGCAGAGUAGGCUGCCUGCAGUAACUAGGUUUUGGCAGCAGGAGUGUGGAUUCCCUCAGCAGAGGAGAGAGUCGUGGUCUUGGCUUGCUCUGCUAAGUGUUACCAUAUUUCUUCCAACUUCCAUUUCCUCUGGGCUGAGUUUCAGCUCAGCUUUCUUCCUCCAGAUGCUCGUAUCUCACAGACAUCUCAUUACUUGUGAUGAAACUCGUUGAACCAGAUGAGAAGAUGGUGUGUAUUCAAACACCCAUGUCAACUUGGUGGCAUUGGAGAUUUAGUCCCAGAUCUUGAGGAGGAGGAGGAGCAGGGGACUGCAGCACUUCACACGUCUCUGGACAGUAAAAAUCGUCUUCUGUUCCCUGCAGUCUGUCAAAAGGGAAGUGAACCGAACCAUCCUCUUCAGCUGUGUCUUAUGUGGGAAUAAGUAAUAGGCAUGGUGCUCAAAAGCCCAGGUCAGGUCCCAUUUAGCUCUGAGAACUGCCUGUCCUCAGCCAUGAAUUGCUCACAGGAUCCAGCCAACAUGAUUAAAAGAUCCUUCACCCCUCGGUGUGAGCAGGAUGGCAUACAACCUGCAGUCUGCUAAUACACAGGAAUAAUAUUACAAUAUAUUAGUGCCAAGCCCUGAAAUGUGGGUGUCCUGGUUAGAUCAUCAGUUCAGCUCCAGUAGACACUGAAGUGCCCAAGUUACUGGUUUACACACGUGACGUGAAUUUCCCAAGUAGCUGUUCAGGAGGCCAGCUUUGGGCUCCCUCUGUGUGUUCCCCCUAAAUCUGAGUUUUUCCUUGGAUUCACAAUGUUUGACAGCCCAAGCAAAACUGCAAGAGCUCAAAUGGAUUUGAAGCCUUGGUCAUGCAAACGGCUAAUGUUUGCUAUUCUGGACGUUAAUUUCAUAAAAUUAAUCUAACACAUCUUGAGGGAAAUUAGUGCAUGCAGAUGCUAUCAUUUAUCACAAUUAUUUUAAAAGCCCUAAUCUAGCACUUCAUCGAAUUCUUCACAUCCACUUGCAUGUCAAGCACUGCAGGAGCAUCUCUGCCCAUGGAAGCGUCUCAUCCUUCUGCAGGGGUGGCUGGUGAGGCAUGGGGGCAGCAGGGCUCAGCCCCCCUUUCACCUCCAGGGAGGCAGCGUGGGGUGCUCUGGUGGUGCCAGGGUGGGGGAUUAUUGCCGCCCCAUGUCAGCUGUAGCAACCUUGGUCACUGUCCGUGCGGUCCCUCUCUUUUCAAUACAAGGUAGGAGGUACCUGCCUUGUUGCCUGUCUCUGUGCUCUAGUGAGUGCCUUUACAGGCCUGGCUGCAGGUGUAAGCUGUGAAUUUUUUUCAGACCUGGGCAGGGAACAUGCUUCUGGUCCCACUGUGGUUUUCCAGGUUCCAACAAUGCUGUUAGCCCAAAUCAGGGCAAAAAAAUUUCCUAUGAAUCAAUAAACUGAAGAAGAAAAAUCUUGAAAGCUAUCAAAAUGUGCCUGUAUUAACCCUGUCACACUUAAUUUGAAUUUUGACUUUUAGAGAAAAAAAAUAAUUAACUAAAUAUGUCUUGAAAAGCUGUUGGCUUGGAAAAGCUGAAAAUGUCAGUUAUCCCUGAAAGAAAGAAGAAUACAGACAGGAAAGUACUUCCAUUUUGUGAGUCUUUCGUUUAACUGAAUAAGCUUUCAGCAGUGAUUUCAUUUGUUUGGCAAGAACCUCCUGCUCAUGUCCACUUUGUACUGUUUCGAUGCAAUGGAGCAAUGCUCCUCUGCCAUAGGCUAGGUGAUGCUCUCCACAGCGCCCAGAGGUGUGUGUGGGGCAGGGGGUUGCUGCUGGGAUGCUCACACCAACAGCCACCGUUCCCCCAGGUGCUGGCAGGGAGGUGGAAGCCAGGGGCUGAGAGCAGCGAGGGCUGGUGCUGGAGCAGCCACCGAAGUCUGCUGAUGUGAGGUACGGGUCAUGCUUUGCAUUAAUCCACACGGCUUGCUUCGGGCUUGUAAGUCUCAGGGCCUGUGGAUUGGGCUGAUAAACAAUUACCUGGCACAUCACAGAAUCCUCCGUUGAAGGCUAUAAGUGUGUCAGGGUACAGUAGUCCUUUAUUAUUGUGGAGUGAAAUAAAGAUGUGAUUUCAGAUGUCAUACUUUGGAUAUUCAAUCAGCACUUGCAAUAUCAUGCAUAAACAAUAAAUUACCAUGUGAUGUAAUUAAAUAUAUUUCUGCUUCCAGUACAGGAGGCAGAGGGGAAAAAAGAAAAGCUAAAUUCAGAAAUUCAAUCAAACAGCUUGAUUUUUCAAAGGCACAAAGCACCUGAGAGUUCCCGGUGACUCCUCAUUUUAGCAGAGAUUUUCCUCUACAUAAAGAACUCAUGAUAAUGAGCUGUGAGGCUGAAUGGUUAAAACGAUUAUCCCCAAGAAAUUCCCAGAGCUUUUUUCAGCAAGUCAGAGCAGUUAAAGCUGGCAGAAAAGAAAUAAUUUGAACAAUUUUUCAUUGGAAAAUACACUUUUGAUGAAACUGAAAUAGUUUAUGGGAACAUUGCACUUCUCAUAAAAUUUUCAGGGAAAGAAUUUCAAAAGGACUCACAAAAUGGAAAAUUACCUUUCUGAUUGAUUUUAGGAUUGCAUUUUCUGCUAUCUAAAAUAACGUAUAAUGGUUAAAGUGCUUCAUUUCCAUAAGGUCAUGUUGAUAUUUUCAAACUGAAAUAUUUGGCAGUUUCCAUGACACAAAUAGUUUUAGUAUUUCGAUUUUCCUGAUUCCAUGCAAAGCUAAAUUUUGCCAUGGAGGAAUUCUUCUAAAGGCAAAAGUGUCACUUUUUCUGGAUGCACUUAUUUAUUAUGGUGUCACACUGCCUACCCUUCAUGCACACAUUGUGUGAGUCUUGCUUGGCUUGAUGCUUUGAAGGCUAACGCAAGGUGGACUGCCAUUACGUGGUUACUGACCCCUGCUCUGCAAGCACUCUUAGGAAAAAUAAAAAAUCUGUCUUCCUAGUAUGCUUUUUAUUAAAAAAAAAAAAUCAAGAAAGACUUUAAAAACAACUGAUGUUGCUGCUUUAGGUUUCUGUCUGAGGGAGUGUGUAAGCAUGGAUGUAACAUCAAGCUGGUCAGUCAUCCUGCUGCCCUUGAUGGGGCUCCAUCAUCGUACCUGGGUAAGUGCUGGCCCAUACUGGGGAGCUGGCAGAUUCGUCUCAAUUACACUGGCUUUCUGAUCACUUCUCAAUGCUCAAACUGGAUUGCCGCUUUUCAGUCCCUCUUGGUCUGUCUUGUGCCAACAUGUUACUUUCAUUGCUGACACGUUACAUGUGGAAAGGAAUGGUUUCUUUUGAAACCCCUGUGAACGUAUAGAGUUGAGAUGUGUUAGUACAAAAAUGAAAACAAACUCUGUGCUUCCAAGCUGUGUAAUUGGAGAACAAGAUGCUAACAGUCCUCAAAAAUGCAGGCUUUUGCCUAAAUGACAUGCUUUGUGGGAGUAAUUAAUUUGUUUUUAAUUAUUAUCUAACUUGUGAAGAAAUGUUCUGAAGAAGUUGUAUCUUCAGCACAAGCCUUUCAACUUUUUUCUUUAAGAUAAAUUUCUUCUUUAGACUUGCACCAUUUUAUAUUUUGUAUGAUAACACCAACAGGAGACUCCUUAGCAAAAGUCACUGCUUACAAUUUUUGCCUUUAAGGCUAUCUCAUAAUUAUGUAUUUAACUAAUCAACACUCCAGAACCUCCAGAUGCAACAGAUACAGGGUUUGUGAAUUAUUUCCCUAUAUACAUCUUAAUUUUCUAGCAGCAGCUGUAAUUUAUGGGAUUCCAUGCGGACUAGCAGGGCUAAUGAUGAGCAAAUGUGUUUUUAGAGUUUUACCGGGUGCAAAUGCCGGUGUAUGGUGAAGGGAUGAAAACAGAUGACUUCUGAGCAUCAAAGCUCCCGCCUCUUGUCUGUAAAUGCUCCCAAAUCCCAGGUCAGCAAAGCAGAGCUUUGGCAUCAUUACGAGUAAAACUCCUGGCCCUGUUUUGCCAGCAGGACAAAGCCUCAGCAGUGGAUUUUCACUCGUGAACCCCCAGAUCAUCAAAACAAAUGAUCUGAAUCUGCCUGAGCUGCGUUGGUUUAUAGAUGAGUAUCUGUGCAUUAGGAUGCCAGUCUGCUACUGGGAUGUGGUUUAUUUUCAAGCAGGAAUUCUUUAAGAGUUUUAUUUGAGUCACGUUUUAUAAAAAGUCACGCUUUCCCAAAUGUACCCCCUCGGAGCAGAUACUCCUGUGGUAUGUUUUGCAAAUGCUCAGAGUUCAAACAGCGCUUGGUCUGCAUUAAGGCUCCUGUCAUACGAAGUACUGACCUAUAUUGCAGAUGGUGAAGGCUUUUGUUUUCUGAAAUAGCUGCCCGCUGGAGAAAUGCAGGUCUGAGUGAGCAGGAGUCAUGGUGGUUUAACUCCAGCAAAGCAGUCAUGUGUAACUAAUACUGUAUUAUUAACACUGAGGGAAAUUUUCAACUUUCAGCAUCUGGACAAAAAAACAGACAAUAAAAAUUGCUUGGUGACUUUUUCUAACCUUUGUAACAUGUAUUUUACUCACCAAGACCACUGCCUCUCCACUUUGCGGUCUCAGGCAGUGAAACAGAGAGAUUAUAAGUAUGCCAUUCACUGGGA